rnacentral:rRNA from 1 species
CACACGGUCUGCGUGUGGGCGUGUGGUGAGCGCGGUUCGGUUGGUAGGUUGGCAGGCGAGCUGGCUGGUCGUUGUCGCCGCAACUGCUGGCUGGCUGGCUGGCUGGCUGGCUGACUGGCUAGGCGGUGGGUUGGCGGGACGGCUGGGUGGUUUGCUUGCUGGCUGGGCUGGCUGGUGCGAUGCUGCACUACUACUGCUUGCGUGCAGUGAGCGUGUGUUGGCAGGGAUUGUGUUGCCGUGGCCAUGAAGAAGCACUGUCGUGUCAAGCUGGCAAGGCGAUGGUGUCACCUUUGAGCCAUGUCUGUGGUGUAACAGCUACAGGUGUGGACGGGUGUUGGGCAGCGCUCUGCACACGUUGUGGAGUCUGUCGGCUCGUCUGCAUGCCUUUGGAUGCCCUUAAAAAGGUGUCUGCGGGCGGAUGGCACGUUUACUUUGAACAAAUUUGAGUGCUCAAAUCAGGCCGAUGUUGCCUGAAAAGUUUUGCAUGGAAUAAUGGAAUAGGACUUCGGUUCUAUUUCGUUGGUUUUCGGAUCCGAAGUAAUGAUCAAAAGAGACAGGCGGGGACGUUUGUAUGGCUGCGCUAGAGGUGAAAUUCAUGGACCGUAGCCAGACAGACUAAAGCGAAAGCAUUCGUCAAGCAUGUUUUCAUUGGCCAUGAGCGAAAGUCAGAGGCUCGAAGACGAUCAGAUACCGUCCUAGUUCUGACCAUAAACGAUGCCAACUGACGAUCCGUGGUGGUAGUAGUGUUACCUUCCCCACGGGCAGUCCCCGGGAAACCUUUAAGUGUUUGGGUUCCGGGGGAAGUAUGGUUGCAAAGCUGAAACUUAAAGGAAUUGACGGAAGGGCACCACCAGGAGUGGAGCCUGCGGCUUAAUUUGACUCAACACGGGAAAACUCACCCGGGCCGGACACUGUGAGGAUUGACAGAUUGAGAGCUCUUUCUUGAUUUGGUGGUUGGUGGUGCAUGGCCGUUCUUAGUUGGUGGAGCGAUUUGUCUGGUUAAUUCCGAUAACGAACGAGACUCCAACCUGCUAAUUAGUGCGUUUGUCCACUGCGCCUGCGUAGGUGACGCUGGAUGACACCACCUGUCACGAGGACGUGGCAGCGGCUCUUCUCUCCUUCUCCGCUCGAAUGCCCUCCAGCGCCUCCUCCUCCUCCUCCUCUCCUCCCCUUCUUCAGCGCCUCAUCUGGCCGGCUGGCUGGCUGGCCGGGUGAGGCGGCGGUGGUGGCGGUGGCGGUGGUGAGGGCGAUGGGGUGGGGAUGGUGCGGGUGGGCGAGUGGAUUGUGGUGGAGGCGUGGGGUUGGGUGCGGCGCUCGUGGCCGGUUAGUCUGGCGUUGGCCUCCGGGUGUGGCGCGAAUGCCUACUUCUUAGAGGGACAAGCGGGAGAAGCCGCACGAAAUAGAGCAAUAACAGGUCUGUGAUGCCCUUAGAUGUCCGGGGCCGCACGCGCGCUACAAUGACGGUGUCAGCGAGUCAGGCCUUCUGGCCCGAAAGGGUUGGGCAAACUGGUCAAUCACCGUCGUGACAGGGAUCGGGGCUUGGAAUUGUUCCCCGUGAACGAGGAAUUCCUAGUAAGUGCAAGUCAUAAGCUUGCGCUGAUUACGUCCCUGCCCUUUGUACACACCGCCCGUCGCUACUACCGAUUGAAUGGUUUAGUAAGGUCCUCGGAUUGGCGUCAUUGCGACGGUGGCCGAGAGGUCACAGCCCGAGGGGCGCUGAGAAGACGACCGAACUUGAUCAUUUAGAGGAAGUAAAAGUCGUAACAAGGUUUCCGUAGGUGAACCUGCGGAAG